rnacentral:rRNA from 1 species
UGAGGAAUCUUGCACAAUGGGCGAAAGCCUGAUGCAGCGACGCCGCGUGGAGGAUGAAGGUCUUCGGAUUGUAAACUCCUGUUAAACGGGAAGAAAGAUCUGUUUCUAAUACAAGCAGAUUAUGACGGUACCGUUAGAGAAAGCACCGGCUAACUUCGUGCCAGCAGCCGCGGUAAUACGAGGGGUGCAAGCGUUAUUCGGAUUGAUUGGGUGUAAAGGGUGUGCAGACGGCUUAUUAAGUCACUUGUUAAAUUCUUCGGCCUAACUGAAGGUCUGCAAGUGAUACUGAUGAGCUAGAGGGUGGAAGAGAGAAGUGGAAUUCUCGGAGUAGCGGUAAAAUGCGUAGAUCUCGAGAGGAACACCAAUGGCGAAGGCAGCUUCUUGGUCCAUUCCUGACGUU